UACGUAGGGUGCAAGCGUUAUCCGGAAUUAUUGGGCGUAAAGAGCUCGUAGGCGGUUUGUCGCGUCUGCUGUGAAAACCCGAGGCUCAACCUCGGGCCUGCAGUGGGUACGGGCAGACUAGAGUGCGGUAGGGGAGAUUGGAAUUCCUGGUGUAGCGGUGGAAUGCGCAGAUAUCAGGAGGAACACCGAUGGCGAAGGCAGAUCUCUGGGCAGUAACUGACGCUGAGGAGCGAAAGCGUGGGGAGCGAACAGG
rnacentral:rRNA from 1 species